rnacentral:rRNA from 1 species
CCUACGGGAGGCAGCAGUGGGGAAUAUUGGGCAAUGGGCGCAAGCCUGACCCAGCAACGCCGCGUGAAGGAAGAAGGCCUUCGGGUUGUAAACUUCUUUUGUCAGGGACGAAGAAAUUGACGGUACCUUACGAAUAACCCACUGCUAACUACGUGCCAGCAGCCGCGGUAAUACGUUGGUGGCAAGCGUUAUCCCGAUUUCCUGGGUGUAAAGGGCGUGAAGGCGGGAGAGCAAGUCAGACGUGAAAUUCCAGUGCUCAACCCUGGAACUGCGUUUGAAACUGGUCUUCUUGCGGGAUGGAGAGGUAGGCGGAAUUCCGGGUGUAGCGGUGAAAUGCGUAGAUAUAAGGAGGAACACCAGUGGCGAAGGCGGCCUACUGGACAUUAACUGACGCUGAGGCGCGAAAGCGUGGGGAGCAAACAGGAUUAGAUACCCGGGUAGUC